rnacentral:rRNA from 1 species
CCAUGAAGUUGGAAUUGCUAGUAAUCGCGGAUCAGCAUGCCGCGGUGAAUACGUUCCCGGGCCUUGUACACACCGCCCGUCACACCAUGGGAGUUUGUAACACCCGAAGUCAGUGUCCCAACCGCAAGGAGGGAGCUGCCGAAGGUGGGAUAAGCGACUGGGGUGAAGUCGUAACAAGGUAAC